rnacentral:rRNA from 1 species
GAUGAACGCUGGCGGCGUGCUUAACACAUGCAAGUCGAACGAUGAAGCCCAGCUUGCUGGGUGGAUUAGUGGCGAACGGGUGAGUAACACGUGAGUAACCUGCCCUUGACUCUGGGAUAAGCCCGGGAAACUGGGUCUAAUACCGGAUAGGAGCGCCUGUCGCAUGACGGGUGUUGGAAAGAUUUUUCGGUCAUGGAUGGACUCGCGGCCUAUCAGCUUGUUGGUGAGGUAAUGGCUCACCAAGGCGACGACGGGUAGCCGGCCUGAGAGAGUGACCGGCCACACUGGGACUGAGACACGGCCCAGACUCCUACGGGAGGCAGCAGUGGGGAAUAUUGCACAAUGGGCGGAAGCCUGAUGCAGCGACGCCGCGUGAGGGAUGACGGCCUUCGGGUUGUAAACCUCUUUCAGUAGGGAAGAAGCGAAAGUGACGUACCUGCAGAAGAGCCCCG